GCCACCUCUAACGGGGGCAGAGGAGCUGGCCCUAAGCCAGAAUUUAGGAAGGCCAGUGGCUGAGGGAAUCCCUGGAGAGAGCUCAUCCUCUGAGCCCACCCCCCAAGACACAAGUGCCUUUAUAAAAUAUUCUGAUGGUGCUAUCUGCCUGGUGGAGCCCCCUCACGCCACAACAGACCUUGUAACUGUAAGUAGGCAAUACUCCAAAGAUUUUGCCAAAUGGUAGUUUAAGUAUACUGAAACAUACCACUCAUCUAGAAUGAAUAUGUCUGCUGCCUUUGCAGAGGGGGAUCCAGAAAGGCGUAUAGGGGUAACAUCUUGAUAUGUUACUGAUAGUUCUCUUCCCAUUCACAUUUCUUACCAUUCUGGUGGAAUAUAGAGUGACAUUUAGCCUACACUGAAGUAUUAACACAUUCUCAUCCUUUUUAACAGAGCAUGGCUGGGCAGCACCAGUAGGGUCCCUCAACUUCCACUGCACAGAUUGACACAGUGAAAUAGAUGUUCAGUAAACACCAUUCUGUGGAAUUCAUGUGCAACUGUAUAAUUUAAUGUCCUCCUUAUGUAUUCCCAGUUACCAGUAAAAGAAGUUUACAAAAUAUACCUGCUGAAAAAAAUACAGAAAGCCGAUAAAGAAAUGCUAUACUUGGACCGCAAGAUUAGGAGGGCAGAUGAAAUAAUUGAAAUACUGGAGCACAAGUUAGAGGAAAUAAAGAAGACCAAAUGAAACGUGUAUUAUGUCAUAACUGCUGUGAUGGUGGUGAUGAUGGUGACUUAAACUCUAAAGUGAUUAUGGCAUAUGGUGUCUCUGACUGCUCUGCCGUCCUGGGUCCAGGGUCAGGGUAAGGGGUCAGCAGCCUAGGUUGGCAUGGGUAACCCCUGUCACCCGGCAGAAGGCCAUCAAACUGUAAUGUAUAGUGGAUACAUUAGAGUGUAUUAAAGGAGGGAGACAAGUGAAUUAUAUUGUGCAAAUCUUUAGGCUUACCACGUUGCAGUCUGUUGCUCAGGUUAGACUUGCGAUAUAUCCCCGAGUCAUGAACAGACCCAGGCCACAUGGCCUCCACAUUGGAAAUGAUGUAUGCAGCAUCACAUAUGAUCCUGACAGUACAGAGAAUUACAGAUGUUGGUUGAACUAUGAUGCAGUCUUUUUUGAAACAGUAGUCAAUCUACAUGUACCUGCACAUUUAUGCUGUGAAUGGACUUCCUAUUCACAUAAUCAGCUUAAUUUGUGAGGGAGCCGUGAUCGGAAUGUGUACACCAUCUAUGCAGCCAAUCACACUGGGAAAUCCUAAAAGAAAUUAAAAUUACCAAUCCCAGUCUGAAGUUGCAGCACAGUGUCAUUAACAGAAUAUAAUUUAAAAUUAAUUUAACAGAUCUCUACAUCAUUCACCUGCAAUCCUGUGGAACUCCUCCUUGAUGGCUCUGACAGGUUUAUGUCCAGGGAAAACGACAAAGAUGGGUAAAAGCGGUUUCAGGGCGAGGCACGCUUUUCUGACCGCCCUGCAUACAGUUGCCUUACUCAAGUGGUCAGCAUCUCCGACAUUGUACAAAAAACUUCCAUUUGAAAAGAAACGCAGAGUUUCCCUCAUUUCAGGGUUAAC